AGUAAUCAAGACAGUAUGGUACUGGCACAAAAACAGAAAGAUAGAUCAAUGGAACAGGAUAGAAAGCCCAGAGGUAAACCCAUGCACAUAUGGUCACCUUAUCUUUGAUAAAGGAGGCAGGAAUGUACAGUGGAGAAAGCACAGCCUCUUCAAUAAGUGGUGCUGGGAAAACUGGACAGGUACAUGUAAAAGUAUGAGAUUAGAUCACUCCCUAACACCAUACACAAAAAUAAGCUCAAAAUGGAUUAAAGACCUAAAUGUAAGGCCAGAAACUAUCAAACUCUUAGAGGAAAACAUAGGCAGAACACUCUAUGACAUAAAUCACAGCAAGAUCCUUUCUGACCCACCUCCUAGAGAAAUGGAAAUAAAAAGAAAAAUAAACAAAUGGGACCUAAUGAAACUUCAAAGCUUUUGCACAGGAAAGGAAACCAUAAACAAGACCAAAAGACAACCCUCAGAAUGGGAGAAAAUAUUUGCAAAUGAAGCAACUGACAAAGGAUUAAUCUCCAAAAUUUACAAGCAGUGCAUGCAGCUCAAUAACAAAAAAACAAACAACCCAAUCCAAAAAUGGGCAGAAGACCUAAAUAGACAUUUCUCCAAAGAAGAUAUACAGAUUGCCAACAAAUACAUGAAAGAAUGCUCAACAUCAUUAAUCAUUAAGAAAUGCAAAUCAAAACUACAAU